GAUGAACGCUGGCGGCGUGCCUAAUACAUGCAAGUCGAGCGAACAGACGAGGAGCUUGCUCCUCUGACGUUAGCGGCGGACGGGUGAGUAACACGUGGAUAACCUACCUAUAAGAUUGGGAUAACUUCGGGAAACCGGAGCUAAUACCGGAUAAUAUAUUGAACCGCAUGGUUCAAUAGUGAAAGACGGUUUUGCUGUCACUUAUAGAUGGAUCCGCGCCGCAUUAGCUAGUUGGUAAGGUAACGGCUUACCAAGGCGACGAUGCGUAGCCGACCUGAGAGGGUGAUCGGCCACACUGGAACUGAGACACGGUCCAGACUCCUACGGGAGGCAGCAGUAGGGAAUCUUCCGCAAUGGGCGAAAGCCUGACGGAGCAACGCCGCGUGAGUGAUGAAGGUCUUCGGAUCGUAAAACUCUGUUAUUAGGGAAGAACAAAUGUGUAAGUAACUGUGCACGUCUUGACGGUACCUAAUCAGAAAGCCACGGCUAACUACGUG
rnacentral:rRNA from 1 species